rnacentral:lncRNA from 1 species
GGAGCCGAAGCCUUCAUUUUUCGCCUUUGUUAAGAAGAAAGCCUUCCCAAAAGUUUAAAGAUUUUUUUCUUCCCAAAAGCCACGCUUCUCAAAGGAAAUAGAGUUUGACUCGACCUGACCGGUUGACAGGAAUCAAGCCCUGACCAUCACCAGACUCCAGUGCUUCAUCCCGCGCUUCAGGAUGUUGGGUCUAUGAAGAGCCAUCAGCUUCAAAUGCUUCCUAAGCAAUCACCCCGCGGGGCACCUUGCAGCCCCACCCACGUCCCCACCGUCCCUUCCCAUCACUGCCUCUGGUCAAUCAAAAAGAAGAGGCAGCCUCUCUUGUGCCACUUGUCAUGAAACCGCUUCUCCAGCCUUGACUCCAUCACCUUUGUCAGCCAUGUCAUCCUCAGCGAGGUGGGUUUGCUGGUCUCGCUCGCUUCACGUGAAUUGGAGCUUCACAGUGACGGCUUGCUCAGGUGACUUGUGCUGGGGUUUAAGGAAGCUCUGCAACACCAACAGAUGCCUGUCUUUCUUUCCUUCUCAGCAACAGCUUUUUUUUCCUUCCUGCUUUUUUAUUAGUGCAUAUCAAUGGCACAGAGUAAUGGUUUUCCUUCUGGCAGAUCUUACACGCACAUACUACAUUUUAACACGUCCCCCUCACCACCCCGUCACCUUACGCGCCCUCCCCAGCUGCACAUAAGAUACCUGGUUUGUGUUCAUGCUUCCUACUACCUACUUUUAGACUCCCUGCCCCUUCCUCCUUUCCCUUGUCUCACAAUCAUCUCCCUUCUACUUUCUUGUCAUCUUUAUUAGAUUCCCCAAAGAUGCUUUUCAUCAGACACUUUGAUACCCACCACCUGCCAGCAGGUUCCUGGGUUGACCCACUGCUGAUGCCUCUGUGCUGAAGGGUUGAACUGCUGGUUGCUGCCUCCCUUGUUUAAAUGAUGGCUGCUGUCCCCCUUAUGAUAAGGUACCUGCCCCAUCAGUAGCUAUCUGUGGUAGGCACUGGAAUGAGACCCAUAUAGCCAUCAUUUAUUAGCUCUAUGAGCUUGCACUGGUCACUUAACCCUCGGAACCUUAAUUUCCCUUUCUGAAAAACAGCAAUGGUGCUGAUACAGGCUCUGCUGUCUGCCACUGGUUGGGUGGACUGAGGUAAGAGGGGUAGAAAGGACUGGGAAAGGGCUAGGCUUGGCCACAAGCCGUCAUUGGCAGCGGUGUGCAGAACCUGUACGGCUUAUGGUGAACACACACAAAAUGUGUCCCUAAGGAUGAAGGGGGUCGGGGAGUGCAUCCUUCUGAUGGCCCGAAACCCGCUCUGCAGAGAGAUGAACUACAAAUACAGCAAAGUCCGUGCAGGGCUGCUCUAUGCAAUCUGUUCAGCAUAAGGUUCUGGCAAAUUACUCAGUAUGUCCAGACCUCUGUUUCCCCGUGUGCUACAUAAAGAGAUUGGGUGAAUGAUCGCCUCCUUGGCUCCAUCUUUC